rnacentral:ncRNA from 2 species
CUUACCUUUCGGGGCAGGGUGAAAUUCCCUACCGGCGGUGUUGUACGGCAGCUUCGGCAGCCGUCUCAGUCCGUGAGCUGCGUUACAUCUUGCUGCAGCAGCAAGUUAUAGCGUUUGCCGACUCGGUGCAAAUCCGAGACCGACAGUAUAGUCUGGAUGGGAGAAGGGGAAG